UCGCCAUGUUUUGAAUUCUCGAUUUUGUUUUACUCUUGCAUUGCAACAACUAUUUUGUGCAAUUGUAAUAUUAUAUUAUAUUAUACUGAAGGGAGAUUAAUUUGUCACAUGAACUUGCCUGUUCGACAAUGGGAGGUGCAGAAUCGGCACACAAUCGUGACAAUCAUCAAUCCAAACGGCCUUGGAGUGGAAGUACGUGAUUGUUUUGUGUCAGGUCGGCAGUAUUUUGGCGACGAGUGCCGAAACGAAACGGUCAAUUGCGUAUCAUCACGGACCUCAAGGAUAAUCAAAACAAGUGGAACAAGCUGAGCAAUUUGAUUUGGUGUAUGCACCGGAAAAUUGGCUGUAUGUGAUUCUCUCAGAAACAAGGCACGCAAGACAGAAUAAAUCAGAGUGCAUAAGAUACAUCCCCAUGUUCCGCCACCAAAUUGCCAGAAAUCGUUUUUCUAAUGUGAAAUUUGCGUUUAUUUCUUUUCGAGUUGCUGUGCAACUGUUGGAUACUGUAAAGAUGCGCAAUUAUAUCAGCAAAUGAAUUACGGACACUUCUCCAUAGCUCUGGGAUUCAGGAGGGAUCACAUGUAGAUUCAUAUAUUGUCGGAUCAUUAGGAUUAAGACAGGAAGCAGCUAUUGAUAUGCAUAUUUGGUGUUACCUUG